GCCAGCGUAGCUUAAAUAAAGCACAACAUUGAAGCUGUUAAGAUGGGCCCUAAUAAGACCCCGCAAGCA
rnacentral:tRNA from 1 species